CUAACCAUGGAGAAUGAGAAGAGACUCUUCAAUCUGUUGCAUGUUACGACUUCUAAUUUUCUUAAUUUGGCGAAAGGCCCUGUUGUAAGUCGGCCAUAACAAAUCUUCUCUAGGCUCACCAAAUUAUUCAAAGACAAAGACUCCAGGAUGGGAAAGACAUUUAAACUAGGGACCUGCACCGUUGAGUUAAUAAUAUAUUGAAUGUCAUCACUAUUUUCGAUGUCAAGAUGCUUUAAUCGCUGAAACCCUUCCCGAUCCAUGUCAUACAAAAUGCUCUU
rnacentral:misc_RNA from 1 species